GGAUAGGUGCGCCGAACGGUGAAGGCAGCGGACUGUAAAUCCGUGACAUAGAAACGCUGGUGGUUCGAAUCGAUCCCUAUCCACCA
rnacentral:tRNA from 1 species